UACGGAGGGUGCUAGCGUUGUUCGGAAUUACUGGGCGUAAAGCGCACGUAGGCGGAUUGUUAAGUCAGGGGUGAAAUCCUGGAGCUCAACUCCAGAACUGCCUUUGAUACUGGCGAUCUUGAGUCCGGGAGAGGUGAGUGGAACUGCGAGUGUAGAGGUGAAAUUCGUAGAUAUUCGCAAGAACACCAGUGGCGAAGGCGGCUCACUGGCCCGGUACUGACGCUGAGACGCGAAAGCGUGGGGAGCAAACAGG
rnacentral:rRNA from 1 species